rnacentral:tRNA from 1 species
CGGGGAGUAGUUCAGUGGUAGAAUACGCGCAUGGGGUGCGUGUGGCCCGAGUUCGAUUCUCGGCUCCCCGA